UAUAAGAAUAUCACUUUUAUCUUUUAAAGUUUAAAGUAAGGAUAUUACACACCUUUUGUUUUUGUAUUUGAUCCUUUUAAUCCCUUGUUAUAUUAUUAUGUGACAGAAUUUUGGACACCCAUUUGCUCGAGUGUGUCCACACUUCAGAAACAAUGUCUUGGAUCAGAAACUCGUAGGCACUGGUAGAUAGACAUAAACAUAGUGAUGAAUGGUUUGGUCAACCUAUACAGGUUAUUGUUCUUUAUUAUAUAGUAUUUUCAGUAUGUAAACCAGUAAUAAUCGUAUAAAAAAUUACCAGCUAAUUUGUGGCCUGGAAUGAUAGAUAGCAUCUGCGUUAGAAAAAGCUGGAUCCUUUUCAACGUGAAUAUCUAAACAAAAUUGGUCUUCGAAUCGGAUCCUGCAUAAAAGAAAGUCUUUUACCAAGAUUCUUUUAAAAGGAGUCGAUAAUUACUUUGAAGACUUUUGAAGACAAUUAAAAAGGAUUGUCAUGGAGUUUAAAGAGAUUCUUCAGAAUCAAAUCGACCGGUUGUGAACUGCCUUGUAACAAGUAUAUUAGUUAAUUUAUGUAAUAAGUAGUUAUCUUUUGUGUGUUUCAAAAAAAAAAAGUAGUUCUUUUAUAUUUUGUUUUCCAUCUUUUGUAAUUGUUAUUUGCUUAAAUCUAGAACCAG